rnacentral:rRNA from 1 species
GCUAAUACCUCAUGACGCAUAGGGGUCGCAUGAUCUUUAUGCCAAAGAUUUAUCGCUUCAAGAUGGCCUCGCGUCUGAUUAGCUGGUUGGCGGGGUAACGGCCCACCAAGGCGACGAUCAGUAGCCGGACUGAGAGGUUGAACGGCCACAUUGGGACUGAGAUACGGCCCAGACUCCUACGGGAGGCAGCAGUGGGGAAUAUCGGGCAAUGGGCGCAAGCCUGACCCAGCAACGCCGCGUGAAGGAAGAAGGCUUUCGGGUUGUAAACUUCUUUUAAGAGGGAAGAGGAGAAGACGGUACCUCUAGAAUAAGCCACGGCUAACUACGUGCCAGCAGCCGCGGUAAUACGUAGGUGGCAAGCGUUGUCCGGAUUUACUGGGUGUAAAGGGCGUGCAGCCGGGUCUGCAAGUCAGAUGUGAAAUCCAUGGGCUCAACCCAUGAACUGCAUUUGAAACUGUAGAUCUUGAGUGUCGGAGGGGCAAUCGGAAUUCCUAGUGUAGCGGUGAAAUGCGUAGAUAUUAGGAGGAACACCAGUGGCGAAGGCGGAUUGCUGGACGAUAACUGACGGUGAGGCGCGAAAGUGUGGGGAGCAAACAGGAUUAGAUACCCUGGUAGUCCACACUG